GCAGAGGGAAGCAGCUGUUGCAAGAGUGAAAUCAUACCUGAAAACGGUGACUAAUUUGUUGUUUGCCAUCGACGAUUUCGGAGCUUGAGGAGGAGGAGCGGCACAGCAACCACGUAAGCAGGUUUUUGAGGCUUGUUUAAGGCAAGGUGAGUUCAUGAUUUUGCCUAUUGUUCCUUGUUCUUCUUCUUUUAUAACUCCUCCCAUUUCUUGUUAAUUAUUGGCUUUUUUUCCAGAGCCAAAAAAAUGAUGAACAAGUCUAUGGUUUGAUUGAGAGCUGUGGACAGGUUUGUCUUGGAGGGCAAUAUUCAUUUGGAAAAGUCUUUUGCUCAAUCCAUUGACCUUGUCUUCCAUGAACUUCACUUUUGAUGGCAUGGGGUGAAUGAUCUCUUUGUUGCUUAUGACAGAGAGCACAAGUGAC
rnacentral:lncRNA from 1 species